CGUGGGUAACCUGCCCAAGAGAUCGGGAUAACACCUGGAAACAGAUGCUAAUACCGGAUAACAACAGAUGAUGCCUAUCAACUGUUUAAAAGAUGGUUCUGCUAUCACUNUUGGAUGGACCUGCGGUGCAUUAGCUAGUUGGUAGGGUAACGGCCUACCAAGGCGAUGAUGCAUAGCCGAGUUGAGAGACUGAUCGGCCACAUUGGGACUGAGACACGGCCCAAACUCCUACGGGAGGCAGCAGGG
rnacentral:rRNA from 1 species